CCCUAUGGGGUGCCAAAAAUGUUUGGCGUAUGGGGCGGGCCGGGGAUCAAGGGUUUUUCCUCAAUGCUUUCAGGUUUCGGUUUUGCUCCUGCUUUGUUCUGGGCCUACGCAGGCGCUUCGUUAGAGCUAGUCGGCGGGAUUUUGAUUUUGGCAGGGUUUCUUACCAAGGGUGCGGCGUUACUGCUUUUGGUGUUGAUGCUGGUAGCAACCAUUAAGGUGCAUCUGUCAAAAGGGUUCUUCCUGGCCAAGGGAGGAUUUGAAUACAACCUGCUUAUUAUCUGUUCGCUGGUCGUUCUGGUUUUGUUGAGGGGAGGGGGUUAUUCCUUGGGGAGUUUUCUUAGAGGAUAAUGCGCUUAUGGAGUAUCCAUCCAUGCUACCUUGAUGCCAGGGGAUUGGUUGCGCUCUGGCGGGGGGGC
rnacentral:rRNA from 1 species